AUGGUGAAGGUCUGGAGUAGUUUGUACGCAGAGCACUUGGCACUGACUUGGUACUUAGUGAAUUUUCCCCUUCCCCUUCAGCUGAGGGACCUCGAGAUCCCAAAGGGCUAUUGACACUGAGCCCAGCUUACAUCACAGUCACCUCAACCAAAGGAGACAGGAAACUGCUUGGUUGUUACAACCAGGGAAUCCAGAUGCAGAACUUGCCUAGUCAUCAGGAAAAUCUUACAGUCCUGGCACAGUUGAAGGACAGAAAAGGAGCAAGAGCCAAUAGUGGAGGGAGACUCUACAGUCUGGAAUGUUCCAAAGACUCCAACCACAAACAUUCCCUCUUGCACUUAGACUGUGGUAGGCUUUGUGGUAUGGACCAUGGCUUCUGCCCUGCGAGCCAAGUCUCCUCCUGAGUCAUGUGACUUUCUCCAGGAAUCUCUAGGCCACGUUUUUUGUGAAUACACAACAUGGUUCUUCACCUCCUAUAGGUCAGAUACAUGAAUUAGGCAAAUCAUUUCUAAAAGAGGGCCACAGCAGGAGGUGGUUUUUAAAGCCUAACCCACUGUUCCCUGCCUCAUUUCUUCACGUAUUGAACAAUCCAUAGGACAUGCUUUCUGUCUUGGAGUCUGUGAUCCAUUAACAUCAUUCACUCAUUCAACAGUACCGAUGGAAUAGCUCCUAUCUCUUUGAUCUGGUGACCAAUUCUUGACUCCUUAUUGAUUUACUUAUUCACCAAUAUUUAUUUAUCGGCCACCAACUACAGGCCAGUUACAAUUACACGCAAGAAUGUUCAGAAAAGGAAUAAGCAAUGCAUUAUUACCCAUGUCCUUAAAAAGCUCAGUUGGUUAGGACAAUGACAAAUAAGCAUCAGUAAUCAAUAUAGGAGGUCAUAACGAUACAUCUGUACAAUGAGGCUGCUUAAUUCUGCCCAGUAGCUGAGACAGUGAUGGGAUAGGAAGAGAGAAAGGAAGGGUAUCACAGAGAUCUCAGUAUUGAAGCCCUCUGUCAGGCAAAGCAGACACCUGGGUUGAACACAUUCCAGAAAUAGAGUGAAAAGAAUAAGCCAGGGUAAGGAAACACAAGUAUGAUCUGCAAGACAGGUAAUUCAAUAUGAAUGAAGCCAAGGGCAUCAAGGUGGGGACAAGAGCAGAGGAAAGAGACUCCGGUGGUGACGCUCUUUCAAGAGUCCAGAUGUCCAAACUUCCUCUUUCCUCCUAAAAGAUCUUAAAUAAGAACCACUUGUAUAACAGAAGAAAUGUCUGAGGGAAGUCUACCAUGGUGACAGUAUGACAACUGGCUAGGAUAAGGAAAGAAAAGGAGAGAUUGAGGUUGAAAAAAAAAAGACAGCAAGCGAGAUAUGGGUUAGCAUUUGAUUCAAUUCGCGGAGUACAGACUACAGCAGAGGCAGGGGAAGGACAUGGUAAAUUCUAGACAUAGUUUGGAAGUAGAACCAACAAGAUCUGGUCAGUUCAGUGUGGUAAGGAAGGGUGGCAUGUGGAUGAGAACCCAGGCUCUUGACCCAAGUGAGUGAGCAAACACACACAGAAACCCAGGAAGAGAACACGGUAAACCAGAAACCCUCUCAGCGCCAAGCAAGAACAUCUCAGCCGCCUCUGGAAAAAUCAUGCCAGACUCAUGGCAAGCAACAGAGCUCCCCAAGAGAGAGACAGAAAGUCGCGAGGUAAACAUGGCGAAUCUUCAUAGACCAACAAUGUCCCUCCCAUAUGCGUUUAGAGGGAAGGAAAAAGGGAACGUAACCUGCUGAACUAACUUUAACUUAAACCUAACAAAUAUGGGGCCAAGCACAUAUGGCCACUCAAGUUUCCUGGCAGCACAAAAGAA